UUAUAAAUUUAUAAAUAUAAUUUAUCAUAUAUUUAUAAAUAAAGUUUGAGUUUUAUUCAUAAUUUUUAACUGAAUUUCAAAUCUUCAAAGACUAAUAAAAAUAGUGGUUAAUAUUUAUUGCAUGCUUCAUAAACAUAGUACAGUUGAUCCUUGAGCAACAUGGGGGUAGGGACACCAAACUCCCCACAGUCAAAAAUCUAUAUGUAACUUAAGUCUCUCCCAAAACUUAAUUAUGAAUAGCCCUACUGUCGACCAGAAGUCUUACUGAUAACAUGAACACUUAGUUAAUUAUUUUGUGUGUUAUAUGUAUUGUAGAUGGUAUUCUUGCAAGAAAGUAAGCUGGAGAAAAAAAAAUCGUAAGGAAGAGAAAAUACAUUUACACUUUGGUAUUUAUCAAGAAAAAUCCCUGUCUAAGUGGACAUAUGCAGGUCAAACCGGUGUUGUUCAGGGGUUAUGCGUCCAUAGGUACUUCAUGUGCAUUUUCUCAUUUAAUCUUGCAACACCUCACGAGUUAGGUGUGAUCAUUAUCACUAUUUUUACUGAUAGUAAAGUUGGAGUAAGAUUGGAAUGGGGUGGAGUGAGGUGGAAUAAAGUUGGAGUGAAGUAAAUUUGGAUUGAGAUGGAGUGAGGUGGGAGCUAGGGGGAGGAAGGUUGGAGUGAGGGGGAGUAAUGGAGUGAGGUAGAAGCGAGGUAGAGUAACUGGUCCAAGUCACUUAGUCAGUGAGAGGCAGAACCAGCAAUUGAACUCAGGAUAUUAGGCCCAGAACCUCAGCUCCUGACCACUAGGCACAUCACCUCCGAUAGGAUUUGUCUUUGUGAUCUUAACUAGGAACAGCAAUCAUUCAGCAGCCAAAACUGUUUUGUUUUUGUUGUUUGCAAGAUCUCGGUACACCUUCUUAUCCUUCUUUGUUGUUCAAGUUAAAUAAGGGGCAGCUUUUCUCCUCGACGGAACUGAAAUGGGAAUUUGCUGGAGGAUUUGAGGGCACACACAAAUUGUGCAGCCUUGGGUUUGCGGAAGCCGAGGCAGUAAGGAGCGUUGGCCUCUGCCCUCAGGGGGGAAACAUCUGAGCCGGCAUCCCAAGGCAUGCUUUGUGUAGGGGAGAAAAAUACCCACGAAGGAAGCUUCUCAGAGGGUGACCAGGUGCACAGUUCAGCCAAGAGCAAUGGACAGCUAGUAAGCAGCUGAAGCAGGAAGUAGCUAUGGAUCCACCUCCCCUUCCCAGGCACCAUUUUGGCUACAGCGUGGAGGGACGCCUAGGCUGUCUACAGAUUUCCUGCUCUUAAAAAGUAGUGUUGGGGUGCCUGGGUGGCUCAGUCGGUUGAGCGUCCAACUUCGGGUCAGGUCAUGAUCUCGCGGUUCGAGAGUUUGAGCCCCACGUCGGGCUCUGUGCUGACAGCUCGGAGCUUGGAGCCUGCUUCGGAUUCUGUCUCCCUCUCUCUGCCCCUCCCCUGCUCAUGCUCUGUCUCUCACUCUGUCAA